GCUGGGUGUGGUGGCGCACGCUUGGAAUCCCCGCUACUCGGGAGGCUGAGACAGGAGGAUCGUCAAUUUUGGCAAGAUCCUGUCUCAA
rnacentral:sRNA from 1 species